rnacentral:rRNA from 1 species
UACGGAGGAUGCAAGCGUUAUCCGGAAUGAUUGGGCGUAAAGCGUCCGCAGGUGGUAUUUCAAGUCUGCUGUCAAAGAGUUUGGCUUAACCAAAUAAAGGCAGUGGAAACUGAAAAACUAGAGUGCGUUCGGGGUAGAGGGAAUUCCUGGUGUAGCGGUGAAAUGCGUAGAGAUCAGGAAGAACACCGGUGGCGAAGGCGGCAUCCUGGUCUGCGACUGACGCUGUGGCGCGAAAGCUAGGGGAGCGAACGGG